rnacentral:lncRNA from 1 species
AAACACUGUACUUUGAUUAUGAGAAAAAAACUAGAACUUUUUAAAAAACUGAUGAUUUAUCAGCUAGAAUUUAUUUACCAUCACUAAACUAAGCCAUGUUUGAAAACUCAAUUUUUAGGUUUGUGUGUGUGUUGCUUUCCUCUGCAACUCACAGGAAGUACAGAAUACACUCCAUUCAAUUACUGUGACUCAGCAGCAUGUCUCACAUGGGAGGCCAUGCUCCCUAGUUGUGGGUAGAAGGCACAGUGAACUGUUUUAGUCAGCUUUUCUACUUAUAUUACUAAAAGACCUGACAAGAACAAUCAGAGGAGGGAAAGUUUAAUUUGUGGAUCACAGUUUCAGCUGUCUCAGUCCAUAUAUGACCAACCCCAUUCUUUGGGGACAGAGGUGAGGCAGAACAUCAUGGUGGAAGAGCGUGGGGGAGGAAAGAUACAGCACCAAGAAGCAGAGACUAAGCUCAGCUAACAAAAUAUGUACCCCAAAGGCGUGUCCCCAAUGACCUACCUCCUCCAGCCCCAUCCUACCUGCCUACAGUUAAUCAUAAUCAGGGAAUGAAUGCACUUAUUUGGGACAAAAUCAUUUCACCUCUAAUCUUUCUUGCAUUGUCUUGCACAGGAGCUUUUGGGGGACACCACAUAUUUAAACCAUAACACACACACCCUCAAAAGCUAAGAGGAUGCAGAGAAGGAUAUGGUUUGAAAAGUUCUCCUGGUGAGCUUAAUGCCUGUUCUUAAC